rnacentral:pre_miRNA from 1 species
CUGGUACUCCCUCCGUUCGGAAUUACUUGUCUCGGAAAUGGAUAUAUCUAGAACUAAAAUACAUCUAGAUACAUCCAUUUUCGAGACAAGUAAUUCCGAACGGAGGGAGUAGUUU